UUUCCGGUUGAUCCCGCCGGACCUGACUGCUAUCGGAUUGAUACUAAGCCAUGCGAGUCAUUGUAGCAAUACAAGGCAGACGGCUCAGUAACGCGUAGUCAACCUAACCUAUGGACGGGAAUAACCUCGGGAAACUGAGAAUAAUGCCCGAUAGAACACUAUAUCUGGAAUGGUUUGUGUUCCAAAUGAUUUAUCGCCGUAGGAUGGGACUGCGGCCUAUCAGUUUGUUGGUGAGGUAAUGGCCCACCAAGACUAUUACAGGUACGGGCUCUGAGAGGAGUAGCCCGGAGAUGGGUACUGAGACACGGACCCAGGCCCUAUGGGGCGCAGCAGGCGAGAAAACUUUGCAAUGUGCGAAAGCACGACAAGGUUAAUCCGAGUGGUUUCUGCUAAAGGAACCUUUUGUCGGUCCUAGAAACACCGAUGAAUAAGGGGUGGGCAAGUUCUGGUGUCAGCCGCCGCGGUAAAACCAGCACCUCAAGUGGUCAGGAUGAUUAUUGGGCCUAAAGCAUCCGUAGCCUGCUUUGUUAGUUUUCGGUUAAAUCUAUACGCUCAACGUAUAGGCUGCCGGGAAUACCGCAAAGCUAGGGAGUGGGAGAGGUAGACGGUACUCGGUAGGAAGGGGUAAAAUCCUUUGAUCUAUUGAUGACCACCUGUGGCGAAGGCGGUCUACCAGAACACGUCCGACGGUGAGGGAUGAAAGCUGGGGGAGCAAACCGGAUUAGAUACCCGGGUAGUCCCAGCUGUAAACCAUGCAAACUCAGUGAUGCAUUGGCUUGUGGCCAAUGCAGUGCUGCAGGGAAGCCGUUAAGUUUGCCGCCUGGGAAGUACGUACGCAAGUAUGAAACUUAAAGGAAUUGGCGGGGGAGCACCACAAGGGGUGAAGCCUGCGGUUCAAUUGGAGUCAACGCCGGAA
rnacentral:rRNA from 1 species